CACCAGCGCCACAAGUGGCAAUCGCAUAUUGGGCCUAAAGCGUCCGUAGUUGGUUUGGUAAAUCUUUUGUGAAAUUGAACGGCUUAACCGUUCACCGUGCAGAAGACACUGCCUUACUUGGAACCGGGAGGAGUGAGAGGUAUUCUGGGGGGAGCGGUAAAAUGUGAUAAUCCUCGGAGGACCACCUGUGGCGAAGGCGUCUCACUAGAACGGAUUCGACAAUGAGGGACGAAGGCUAGGGGAGCAAACC
rnacentral:rRNA from 1 species